rnacentral:rRNA from 1 species
UACGUAGGUGGCUAGCGUUGUCCGGAUUUACUGGGCGUAAAGAGCGCGCAGGCGGUCGUUCAAGUCGAGUGUGAAAGCCCCCGGCUCAACUGGGGAGGGUCACUCGAUACUGAUCGACUCGAAGGCAGGAGAGGGAAGUGGAAUUCCCGGUGUAGUGGUGAAAUGCGUAGAUAUCGGGAGGAACACCAGUGGCGAAGGCGGCGAUCUGGGAAGAUACUGACGCUGAGGUGCGAAAGCGUGGGGAGCAAACAGG